UACUAAAUAUGAUAUUUUUUUUAGAUGUUGUUGGAACAUCCAUUGAGCUUUGAUGUGGCUGAAUUUCAUGGUGGAGGAUUAACAAGCCUUCAUUAUUAUCCCAUGGCAUGGAGGAAGUUAAUUUUUGGUUGCAACUUGUGAGGAAUGUUGGAACAAAUUGGGAUGGAACAAUGUGAUGUUGUUAUUAAAAUUUGGACAAUGUAUCGAGUACUUUAUAAUUGUAUAUUGUUAUUAUAAUUGUAUGUUGUUAUAUUUUUGGAUA